rnacentral:rRNA from 1 species
GUGGGGAAUAUUGGACAAUGGGGGCAACCCUGAUCCAGCCAUGCCGCGUGAAUGAUGAAGGCCUUCGGGUUGUAAAGUUCUUUUGGAGGGGACGAUGAUGACGGUACCCUCAGAAUAAGCUCCGGCUAACUUCGUGCCAGCAGCCGCGGUAAUACGAAGGGAGCUAGCGUUGUUCGGAAUUACUGGGCGUAAAGGGCGCGUAGGCGGUUUGGUUAGUCAGAUGUGAAAGCCCAGGGCUUAACCCUGGAACUGCGUUUGAUACUGCCAAGCUUGAAUUCGGGAGAGGUGAGUGGAAUUCCCAGUGUAGAGGUGAAAUUCGUAGAUAUUGGGAAGAACACCGGUGGCGAAGGCGACUCACUGGCCCGUUACUGACGCUGAGGCGCGAAAGCGUGGGGAGCAAACAGGAUUAGAAACCCUAGUAGUCC